rnacentral:misc_RNA from 1 species
GCAUUCAUUAUGGUAGUAUUUAAAUGCUAGUUUAUACAAUAAAGAUAAUUUAAAUGCAAUCGGAGUAGGACGCAGAUAAUUAAUUUGCUCUUUACAAAUAUAAAGGCCAUCGACAAAGAAGUCAAAAGCCCAAAACUUGAACAAAUAGCAUAUUACUACACCAAAAUAAAAUUAGUAAAACAAGAAGCUUCAUAAUAUAUUUUUGU